AACGAACGCUGGCGGCAGGCUUAACACAUGCAAGUCGAACGCCCCGCAAGGGGAGUGGCAGACGGGUGAGUAACGCGUGGGAAUCUACCCAUCCCUACGGAACAACUCCGGGAAACUGGAGCUAAUACCGUAUACUCCCUUAGGGGGAAAGAUUUAUCGGGGAUGGAUGAGCCCGCGUUGGAUUAGCUAGUUGGUGGGGUAAAGGCCUACCAAGGCGACGAUCCAUAGCUGGUCUGAGAGGAUGAUCAGCCACAUUGGGACUGAGACACGGCCCAAACUCCUACGGGAGGCAGCAGUGGGGAAUAUUGGACAAUGGGCGCAAGCCUGAUCCAGCCAUGCCGCGUGAGUGAUGAAGGCCUUAGGGUUGUAAAGCUCUUUCACCGAUGAGGAUAAUGACGGUAGUCGGAGAAGAAGCCCCGGCUAACUUCGUGCCAGCCGCCGCCGUAAGAC
rnacentral:rRNA from 1 species